rnacentral:lncRNA from 1 species
UUAGUUUCCCGGACCUGGCAGAGCGCGGCUGCUGAGGACACGCCGCACCCGUCCCGUGCCCUCUGGUCGGGGAGGCCCCCGGCCUACCCCCAGUGCCGGCCUCCGGGUGGGCGGACGCCGCCAGUGCCGCAGGUGCAGCUCUGAGACAGCCCGCCGCUUCCCCCGCACCCAGCUGCAGUGGUUUCUGCUUCACUACACCCCUGCUGCGGAGAUGGUCUCUCCCUGCUGCCUGCCAUCCCACCCGCCCCACACGCCCACUUAGGAUGAUGCCCGUCUGUGGUUAUCAGCACCCACUCCUCCACCCCACAGUCAAAACUCCGUGGCCCUGGGCAUUGUCCUUUUAUUCUAGAACCUGCCUCUACAUUGCCCUCCUGGAGACAGUCACCCCACCCCCACCCACUCACACCGCUGUCCUGGAGAGGGCCACCCAGCAAGACAGACUGAUUGCCCUUUUUCCAUGA